rnacentral:lncRNA from 1 species
CGGACAAGGAGGGAGUAAUAUAACAUUUGGGUUUUUUUUUUCUCCUAGCCAAGUGUCCCAUAAAUCUUAUCUCCAAAUAUUUUGGAUAGUUAUUCAAGCAAGCUAAGAGAAAGAGAGAAAAUAAGGAAGUGAAAGAUAGAGAAAAUAAGAAAGAGAAAGAGAAAAAAUGGAGAGAGAGAAAGCUUGGAGUCGGCAGCCCAUGAGAGAGGAAGGAGAAAGAGAUUUCUUCCAUGCUUCAUCAAGCUAUUUUGAGGAAGAAGAAGAAGAAUUGCACAAGAACUAGGUAUAACAAAUUAAACUCUAGUAAUUAGAUUAAUUAGAUUAUGUAUUUUAUUUUGGUUGUUUUGAACCAAAUCAUUAGUUUAUGACCUUGAACAUAAAAACCUUAUAUUUUCAUGUUAAAUGAUGUUUUGUGUUUAGAUCUAACUAUUUUGGGUGUUGAAAAGCUUAAACAAAGAAUGAAAAGAAAACUGUUUUGGAUCAGUUUGGUUCAGGGGUAAUUUCGUUCGUUUUUGUUGCUCUAAAAAUUCUGUGCUUUUGGUAUGUUGUAGUACACUGAAUAAGCUUUCCAUAGACUCUGAAACAAACUAAAUCCGACUUCGUAGCAAAGAGCUAUGCUAUUUAAAAGUAGUAGAGUCGAAACUGUCCAAGAAAUGCAGUGAAGUCUCCUUGUACUGAAUUUCUGGGCUGAUAUAUUCGGAAUCUGGAAAAAAGUCAGUAGGGAAGAGUUGUAGUCCCAGAAGUUAGCUUCGCGUAGGCUCAAGAAUCGCCUAAAAAUGUUUUAAAACAAAAACGUUAUGACUAUUUUAGUGCAAGAGGGUCAAGCUGGAAAACAUUUGAAAACUAUUACGAGUGGACAUUUUUGGAGUCUGUUUUAGGCUGCCUAUGAGAUCCGAAAUUAGUGGCUAAUAUUUUUUAAAAAAAUACUUUGGUAUACCAUGUAUAACAUAUUCAAAAAUCAUAUUAAUCGGAGUUACGAGUAACGUGUACGAAAAUCGCAAAGUAGCUGUUUCGCUAUACGCAACCGUAGCUGGGCAGCACUAGUCGUGCAACAGCAAGGUCAGGCGCUUCCAGCGCCUGCUGGCGCCGCCGGUGCCUGCUGUGCAGGUUGCUUGCUGGGGUUUUGACACGCUAUUUUUGAUGGGUUAUGUAAUUAGUUUUUGCGGUUAGAAAUUUUUCUAAAAUACUAUGACAUGCCCAAAAUUAUUGUUAUAGGACUUAUGGUUUGAAAGUAAAAAAUGAGCAAAGGAGCAUGUCAGAACUUAAAAUUUAAGUGACGCCGAGCGUUGGCGCGUCAAGCAAUUUUGACGUUUGACGUUCCAAAUCGCAUUCUGGUAAAAUAAUAAGUCAUAAUAAAUCUAAUAAAGUCCUACGGGGCGAGAUUUGAUUAUAAAUGAUAUUUUAUGCCGAGAAACUUUCUUUCGAACAAAAAUAAAGCAAAAAAAAUAUGCAAUAAACAUAAAUUUACAUAUUUAAACAAAAUAAAAACUAUAAUUGCCUAUAAAAUUAUUUCGUGGUGUAACGAAGAGCGAGAAACCUUUAAAAUUUUGAAUUAAUCAUAAAAAUGAUAUUUUGAGGUUUUCGGGGUUAAAAUGUAGUUUUUGAGCUGAGAAUUAUGUAACGAAUUAUAUAUAUAUAUAUACAUAUAUAUAUAUAUAUAUAUAAAGCAAAAAUGCGAUUAUUUGUAAAACGAAAAAUAAAGCGAAUGUGCUAGCAGGAUAAAAUAUUUAUAUAUGAGGCAACAGUUCGUGUUGACUCGGACAAAAUGAUAUAAAAAAUAUUAUUAUUAUUUAAAUUAAAGAAAUAAUAUAAUAAAUUGAAUUUUACUAUAAAAGCUACGUAUUAUUUGUUUAAACCCCGAAUUUAUGAGUAAAGGUAAAAGAUAUUUUUGAAAUUGAAUAAAAAUGGUUUAAGCUUCAAGACGUAAAAUAUUUACAUCUUAAAAUGUGAAGUGAUUGAAAUAUUAUUAAAUGGUUAAUAAUAUUAGAUAAGAAUUAAAAUAUUAUUAAAUGAUUAAUAAUAUUAGUUAAGGGUUAAAAUAUUAUUAAAGGAUUAAUAAUAUUAGUGUUUGAUUUGAAUAUUAUUUAAGGAUUAAUAAUAUUAUUGUUUGAUUUGAAUAUUAUUAAAGGGUUAAUAAUAUUGGUAAAUGAUUAAAAUAUAAUUAAAUAAUUAAUAAUAUUUGUGAAUGAUUAAUAUCCUAUUAAAUGAUUAAUAAAGUUAAGAAGUGAUUGAAUAUUAUUAAGUGAUUAAUAAUAUUAAGUGACUAAAAUAUUAUUAAAGGAUUAAUAAUAUUAGUGUUUGAUUUGAAUAUUAUUAAAGGGUUAAUAAUAUUGGUAAAUGAUUAAAAUAUAAUUAAAUAAUUAAUAAUAUUUGUGAAUGAUUAAUAUCCUAUUAAAUGAUUAAUAAAGUUAAGAAGUGAUUGAAUAUUAUUAAGUGAUUAAUAAUAUUAAGUGACUAAAAUAUUAUUAAAGGAUUAAUAAUAUUAGACAAAAGUUUAAGAUAAUGGUUAAGUGAUAGUAAUAUUAUUAAGAGUUAAUAAUAUUACUAAUGAGUAAAAGAAAUAUUCAAUGUCUGAUUAUGUGGCAAAAUGCUAGCUAAUUUAUUAUUCAAGUAAUAGUAUUAUGAGAUAAAAUGUAUUAUAUUAAUUGAAAGAUCAAUUUUAUAACUAAUAGGUCUUUCAUAAUAGAUUAAAUUAAAUUGUGUAGCAGUAAUCGACGGUACAAGCAAGUUUCUUAACUCAAACUCGAGUUAUUAUUUUUCAAGAAUGCUAGUGGAUUAAUUAUUGACAAUUAUUUCACGUCUAUGAUUAUUGUUAUUCGCACUUAAUGCGUGUUGCAUAUGUUUAUCGGGUAUGAAAGACUGUUCACCUUGAUUACCAUAAGGUUCAAUUAAAUUUGUUCAUUGUCAUUGUUGACCACUCAACAUUAACUAUUCAGUUAUUCAAGUUUUGAUUCUUACACUUUCACAAUUAUAUUACAUUGUUGAAAACUUGAAAGCUUAUUACUUUUCAAUCAUGAUAUGUCCUUCUUAUAUUUAAACUUGUUGGGCAAAGUAGUUGCUCACUCUUGCUAUGUCAUGAUAACAUUUUCAAAUUAAGACGAAGGUUCGAAGGAAGACAGAGACAAGGAUAAAUUCCAUGAGUAGAUUGUUAUGCCCAUUUUACUAUUACGUUGUUUGAUGUGAAUAAAUUAUGUAAAUCUUUUUAGAUUUCAAAGGUACGUAUGUAAGUUAAGGUUGUUAGUCCUUGGGUUAUGUGGUACGUAAGAGCUUAUUGUAUAAACAAUUUAUAUUUAUAUAUGAUCUGCAUUAGUUUAUAGAAUGUGUUUGAAGAUGAUGUAUCGUGACGCACUAGGUCCGAGGUUCAAGGGACCCAGAUUUGGGGGCGCUACAUAUGUGAUGUUUUUAAGUUCAAAUUUACGCAAUGCUUACUUGAUUGUGUGAAUUCCAUACUUAUGCAAAUCCUUAGUAUUUGUACAAGUGUCCAAGCUAUGCUAUGACAUAAAACUAUUAAAGCUUUAAAGUUCGAUUAUCCAUGAAUUGUUUAAGAAAGUGUCGAUGCCAUUUUGUUUUGGCUAGACGAAUGUUAAAGUGUUUUAUCGAUUUGAUAUUAAAUUUUUGAAAUGUUAUUGAUGUUAAGUAGAGUACGUUAUCUAAACCAAGUUGUUUUGGUACAGAUUCUUGAAUGAACAACCCUAAUAUUAGGGGCAUUUUUUGUCAGGUAUUCUGGCACGACCAUGAAGCGCAUAAACAAACACAUAGUCAUUUAAAGUAAGAGUAUUGUACAUUAACAUAGAGUAUCAUAGACUGAUCACCUAGAAGUCCUCGUAAGGAAAGACGAUUUACAAUUGAAUUACUGUUAAUUAACCUUUUCAAAAAGAUGAAAAAGAACCGCUCAACAUAAAUGUUCAAUAUGUCAUUUCAAAAAAAAAUUAAACGAGAGAGAAAGUAUUCUUGUUUUUUUCGAAAUGUUUCACAACUAUUGUUCAGUUGUUGAAAAAAGAUAAUAUGAUUCUUGAUUUUGUUGUUAUUAAAUUGUCAUACUAACUGAACAAUUAAAUGUUCAUCUUUGCUUAAUUUAAAUGAUUUCAGCUGAACCAGAACAGAUUGAAGGAUUCGGUAACACAAGUAAAAGAAAAAGAUGAAUGAAUAGAAGACCUUGUAAUAGCAUAAUAUUAUUAUGUAAUAGAUAAUAUUAUUAUGUUUUGAAUAUGUAAUGGUAAUAAUACCUGGGAUUGAACAGAUAUGUUUGUUGUAAAAUAGUAAUUACAUUCGUGUCAUUGAAAAUUUAUAGAUGGAUGUGUGUGGAUGAAUAUUUCCGUGUAACAUCACAUCCAAGAUUUAAAAGUAC